GAACUGAAGAGUUUGAUCAUGGCUCAGAUUGAACGCUGGCGGCAGGCCUAACACAUGCAAGUCGAGCGGAUGAC
rnacentral:rRNA from 1 species